rfam:Triticum aestivum genome assembly, contig: Triticum_aestivum_CS42_TGACv1_scaffold_149476_2BS
GUGAGCCGCAUGCGGGGAGACCCGCACGUACGGUUUUCAGGGGGAUCCAGCCGGCCGGCGCCCACCCGAC